rnacentral:rRNA from 2 species
GAGAUGGAUUUGUGCCUUCGGGAACUGUGAGACAGGUGCUGCAUGGCUGUCGUCAGCUCGUGUUGUGAAAUGUUGGGUUAAGUCCCGCAACGAGCGCAACCCUUAUCCUUUGUUGCCAGCGGUUAGGUCGGGAACUCAAAGGAGACUGCCAGUGAUAAACUGGAGGAAGGUGGGGAUGACGUCAAGUCAUCAUGGCCCUUACGACCAGGGCUACACACGUGCUACAAUGGCGCAUACAAAGAGAAGCGA